rnacentral:rRNA from 1 species
UACGGGGGGGGCAAGCGUUGUUCGGAAUUACUGGGCGUAAAGGGCUCGUAGGCGGCCAACCAAGUCGGAUGUGAAAUCCCCAGGCUUAACCUGGGAACUGCAUCCGAUACUGGAUGGCUUGAAUCCGGGAGAGGGAUGCAGAAUUCCAGGUGUAGCGGUGAAAUGCGUAGAUAUCUGGAGGAAUACCGGUGGCGAAGGCGGCAUCCUGGACCGGCAUUGACGCUGAUGAGCGAAAGCUAGGGGAGCAAACGGG